GAUGAAGAACGUAGCGAAAUGCGAUAAGUAAUGUGAAUUGCAGAAUUCCGUGAAUCAUCGAAUCUUUGAACGCACAUUGCGCCCCCUGGUAUUCCGGGGGGCAUGCCUGUCCGAGCGUCAUUGCAACCUUCAAGCGCGGCUUGUGUGUUGGGUCUCUUCCCCCGUGGACGGGCCCGAAAGGCAGUGGCGGCGUCCCGACAUGGUGCCCGAGCGUAUGGGAAUCCUCUUCCGCUCGAAUCGGCCCAUGCGGCGCUGGUCGUAACCAAAUUUUUUACCGGUUGACCUCGGAUCAGGUAGGGAUACCCGCUGAACUUAAGCAUAUCAAUAAGCGGAGGA
rnacentral:misc_RNA from 1 species